GUGGAACUAUUGCAAAGACGAAAGCAAAGUGAUGCAGAGUUGGCCUUGGGUGUGGUCUGUGAGGCUUUGACAAUAAGCACCUAUUCGGAGAAACUACUCGAAUUGAAAGCAGAUGCUCUUCUUAUGCUGCGGAGGUACGAAGAGAUGAUUCAGCUAUGUGAGAAGACACUUGAAUUGGCCAAGUCAAAUGCUCCGCCAUAUAAUUUUGGUUACCAGUCAUCAGAGUUAGAUAGUGCGAUCACAGAGAGAAGUGCUUCCUCUGGGCUCUGGUGUAUUUCUAAAAUAGUGAAGUCAUACUUUUAUCUCGGGAAGCUUGAAGAGGCUGAUAAUUUUCUGAAGAACCAAGAGAAAUCGAUGCGUCUGAUGGAAAGUAGUGAACUCGAGAAUUUAGAAGCAGUUGUUCCUCUUGCUGGAACAAUACGUGAGCUCUUACGCUU
rnacentral:misc_RNA from 1 species